GGGGGGGGGGGGGGGGGGGGGGGGUGGGGGGGGGGCGGGGGGACGGACGAGAAGCUUGCUUCUCUGAUGUGAGCGGCGGACGGGUGAGUAACACGUGGCUAACCUACCUAUAAGGCUGGGAUAACUUCGGGAAACCGGAGCUAAUACCGGCUAAUAUUUUGAACCGCAUGGUUCAAAAGGGAAAGACGGUCUUGCUGUCACUCAUAGAUGGAUCCGCGCUGCAUUAGCUAGUUGGUAAGGUAACGGCUUACCAAGGCAACGUUGCAUAGCCGACCUGAGAGGGUGAGCGGCCACACUGGAACUGAGACACGGUCCAGACUCCUACGGGAGGCAGCAGUAGGGAAUCUUCCGCAAUGGGCGAAAGCCUGACGGAGCAACGCCGCGUGAGUGAUGAAGGUCUUCGGAUCGUAAAACUCUGUUAUUAGGGAAGAACAUAUGUGUAAGUAACUGUGCACAUCUUGACGGUACCUAAUCAGAAAGCCACGGCUAACUACGUG
rnacentral:rRNA from 1 species